UUGAGCUUUAUCUUCAGCAGUCCUCCUGACACACAGGAUUAGCACAUAAAGGCAGAUAUGAGGCCUGCUAUUGAGGGAAAGGAGUCUGGCCGGAUUUAUUUCUGUGUUUCUGCACAGAAGGAUGGGGAACCAUGGUGCAUCUUAGCCUUAGCUACAGAGUGAGCUGGUUGGCUGCGCAAAGAGGAUAGGCUCUGUGUACUGGAUUGAUUUUUCUCCUUCUCGCUGCCAUGCCUCUUUUUGUGGUUCAAUAGUUGGACAUCCAGGAGCAAGGAUCUCUCAGUCACUGCCUGCACUGCAGAAGAGUUGUCUAGAAGAGAUCUCCGAAGGACUAGAGUCGCAUACAGCAAUACCAAAAGCAGUUCAGAGCCAGAGUCAUCAGGGCCAGGAGCUCCAGAGUCAGCUGCAGUUAAAGGGCGUCUGGAGGCAGAGAAUGAGCACUAAUGAAAAGGAAUGUAAGCUGGAGUGGAGAGCUCAGAGUGCGGGGGCAGAUUGGCUGCAGAGAGCACCCAGAUGGGACAGAGACGCAAAGACCAACCUCAGAUAUACAGUAACA